CUUCUGAAGCACGCUUUAUUGGAGGUUCUUCUGCAUUCUUCAAGAUGGCGGAAAGACCCCGAGCCGGAUGCGAGCCUGCCUUUUAUAGCCUCUCAGGUGACGUAGCCCAUUUCUAUUGGCCAAUGCCGGCCUGCGUCAUUCUGAUGAGCCAAGCGCCCCUUCUGCGCAUGCGCGAACCGCCGUCACCGGCGGACUCACAUCCGGGAUUCAUGCAGGGCAUGAAGAGCCCGGAAACAAUGGCGCGUGACACUCCGAUGCCCAGGUAAAAAAUAAAGAAAGAAAGAAGCACAGACCAAGCACACCGAGUGCCCCUCUAGCUCACCCGGUCCAGGGGUGUUAAGUGUGGUCACAGAAUUGCACCUGAUAUGUUAAACAACUCCAGAGAGAGCCACGG
rnacentral:lncRNA from 1 species